GAUGAAGAACGUAGCGAAAUGCGAUACGUAAUGUGAAUUGCAGAAUUCAGUGAAUCAUCGAAUCUUUGAACGCAUAUUGCGCUCUCUGGUAUUCCGGAGAGCAUGCUUGUUUGAGUAUCAGUAAACACCUCAACUUCCAUAUCUUUUUUGAAAUGGGAGUUGGACUUGAGUGAUCCCAACGCUUUUCCUCACCGAAAAGUGGCGGGUUACUUGAAAUGCAGGUGCAGCUGGACUUUUCUCUGAGCUAUAAGCAUAUCUAUUUAGUCUGCCUAAAAACAGACUAUUACCUUUGCUGCAGCUAACAUAAAGGAGAUUAGUUCUUGUGCUGACUGAUGCAGGAUUCACAAAGACAGGCUUCGGCCGACUUUGUAAACUCGAUCUCAAAUCAAGUAAGACUACCCGCUGAACUUAAGCAUAUCAAUAAGCGGAGGA
rnacentral:misc_RNA from 1 species